GAUGAAGAACGUAGCGAAAUGCGAUACGUAAUGUGAAUUGCAGAAUUCAGUGAAUCAUCGAAUCUUUGAACGCAUAUUGCGCUCUCUGGUAUUCCGGAGAGCAUGCUUGUUUGAGUAUCAGUAAACACCUCAACUCCCUUUUCUUUUUUGAAAUUGGAGCUGGACUUGAGUGAUCCCAACGCUUUCUUCCAAGAAAGUGGCGGGGUGCUUGAAAUGCAGGUGCAGCUGAACUUUUCUCUGAGCUAUAAGCAUAUCUAUUUAGUCUGCCUAAAAAACAGAUUAUUACCUUUGCUGCAGCUAACAUAAAGAAGACUAGUUCUUGUGCUGACUGAUGCAGGAUUCAGAGACAGCUUCGGCUGACUUUGUAAACUCGAUCUCAAAUCAAGUAAGACUACCCGCUGAACUUAAGCAUAUCAAUAAGCGGAGGA
rnacentral:misc_RNA from 1 species